UACGGGGGGAGCAAGCGUUGUUCGGAUUUACUGGGCGUAAAGGGCGCGUAGGCGGUCAGCACAAGUCAGUUGUGAAAUCUCCGGGCUUAACUCGGAAAGGUCAACUGAUACUGUGCGACUAGAGUGCAGAAGGGGCAACUGGAAUUCUCGGUGUAGCGGUGAAAUGCGCAGAUAUCAGGAGGAACACCGAUGGCGAAGGCAGGUCUCUGGGCAUCUCCUGACGCUGAGGCGCGAAAGCGUGGGGAGCAAACGGG
rnacentral:rRNA from 1 species